GACGAACGCUGGCGGCGUGCUUAACACAUGCAAGUCGAACGGAAAGGCCCUGCUUUUGUGGGGUGCUCGAGUGGCGAACGGGUGAGUAACACGUGAGUAACCUGCCCUUGACUUUGGGAUAACUUCAGGAAACUGGGGCUAAUACCGGAUAGGAGCUCCUGCUGCAUGGUGGGGGUUGGAAAGUUUCGGCGGUUGGGGAUGGACUCGCGGCUUAUCAGCUUGUUGGUGGGGUAGUGGCUUACCAAGGCUUUGACGGGUAGCCGGCCUGAGAGGGUGACCGGCCACAUUGGGACUGAGAUACGGCCCAGACUCCUACGGGAGGCAGCGGUGGGGAAUAUUGCACAAUGGGCGGAAGCCUGAUGCAGCAACGCCGCGUGCGGGAUGACGGCCUUCGGGUUGUAAACCGCUUUCGCCUGUGACGAAGCGUGAGUGACGGUAAUGGGUAAAGAAGCACCGGCUAACUACGUG
rnacentral:rRNA from 1 species